UACGAAGGGGGCUAGCGUUACUCGGAUUGACUGGGCGUAAAGGGCGCGUAGGCGGUUUGUACAGUCAGACGUGAAAUUCCUGGGCUCAACCUGGGGGCUGCGUUUGAUACGUGCGGACUUGAGUUCGGAAGAGGGUCGUGGAAUUCCCAGUGUAGAGGUGAAAUUCGUAGAUAUUGGGAAGAACACCGGUGGCGAAGGCGGCUAUCUGGACCGUAACUGACGCUGAGGCGCGAAAGCGUGGGGAGCAAACAGG
rnacentral:rRNA from 1 species